GACGAACCGUGCGAACGUUGUUCGGAUUCACUGGGCUUAAAGGGCGCGUAGGCGGGCGGCCAAGUCAGGGUGAAAUCCUCCGGCUCAACCGGAGAACUGCCUUUGAUACUGGUCGCCUGGAGGGAGGUAGGGGUCGACGGAACUUCCGGUGGAGCGGUGAAAUGCGCAGAUAUCAGGAGGAACACCGGUGGCGAAGGCGGUGGUCUGGGCCGGAACUGACGCUGAGGAGCGAAAGCGUGGGGAGCGAACAGG
rnacentral:rRNA from 1 species